GAAAUGCGAUACGCAAUGCGAAUUGCAGAAUCCGCGAGUCAUCAGAUCUUUGAACGCAAAUGGCGCCGGUCUAAACGCCGGCAUGUUCGGCUCAGUGUGCUAGGAAAUCGCACAGCAGAGUGUGGUUGAAAUAUAACUCAUAGAGAAUUAUUUCUCCCAUUAAACGCGGAGGCGCUGAAACCGCGCCCCUCCGAAGUAGUCACUAGCUCUCUGGUGAUCUCGGAGCGGGGUCGUUUUCGGCUUCACACAAAGCGUCUCACACUUAAAAUUGAGGGCAGGCCCUUCGGGCCCGCCCCCUAUAUAUUAUCAAACACCUGAGCCGCGCAAGACAACCCGCUGAACUUAA
rnacentral:misc_RNA from 1 species